rnacentral:lncRNA from 1 species
GAGCGUGUUUCUCUGUGGGGGAUGUGCGUGUCUGAGCUCCAGUCCCCCACUCUCCUGGCAGCCCACGGUGCUGCCGCUGACCACACGCCCCUCCUUCGUCCCACCCCAGUGUGAAAACGAGUCCGCGCUGAACCUGUAUGAGACCNUGACGGUGAAAGCGGGCACGCUGGAGAAGCUGGUGGAACACCUGGUGCUCGCCUUCCGGGACAGCGAUCUCUCCUAUGUCACUGUCUUCCUGUGCACCUACCAAGCCUUCACCACCACCCAGCAGGUCCUGGACCUGCUGUUCAAAAGAUACGGAUGCAUCCUCCCUUAUUCUGACGAGGACGGCGGGCCCCAGGACCAAUAAAAAGCCAGCUGCACGUGGGGCCUAGACAGGCCGGGCAGCAGUUCCCAAGAAUAGUGUCGCUGAGAAGAGGAGACCCCAUGUGCCUGAAAGGACAUCAGGCAGCCGUCGGAGCAGGAGCUGGGGGUCGAGGGGCUGUGAGAGCCCGGGCAGGCUGGGCAGAGGGACGCUGCCUGUUCCCUCCUCCCUCACAGGCCUCUGCAGGGCCUACUGUGUGCGCCAGGGCCGGGACAGAGCCGACACCCCCCCCACCCUCCUGGAGUUUCCAGUGCAGCAGGGAGGGACCCAGACAGACAGAGGAGUGGAUCAGGCUCCCCUGAGGAAGGCAGGGGUGCUCACAGCAGUGAUGGAGGGCUCCCUCCCGUGGAGUUGCCGGCUGCACCUGCUGGCUGGACCUGCCCCUGCAUGGAUGGCGGUGGGGUGCCAUCUCCUCCAUUCUGGGCACCUAGCUGGACCAUACUCGGAGGACUUCUGUCAGCCCCCAGACUUUCCCUGCCUCAAGCAGCUGGUGGCCUACGUACAGCUCAACAUGCCUGGUUCCGACCUGGAGCGCCGUGCCCACCUUCUGCUUGCCCCGCUGGAGCACGCAGGGCCCCCGGAGGCCGAGCCCGAGGCUCCAGCGCCAGUUCUGAAAACGGCUCCAGAACUAGAGCCAGCUUUAGCACCAACUCUCCUGCCCGCCCCAGAGCUCCAGGCAGCCCCAGCACCCACCCCAGAGCCCGAGGCAGCCCCAGCACCCGCCCCAGAGCCCGAGGCAGCCCCGGCACCUGCCCCAGAGCAAGAGGCAGCCCCGGCACCUGCCCCAGAGCCCGAACUAUCUCUGUCACAAACUCUCUAGCUGGAGGCAGCUCCAGCACCCGGGUCUCCCUGGCCUUCACCUGUGGCUGCAGAAAAUGGCCUGAAUGA